CCUCCUCCUUGCCCACGUCUCCCCACCCUUCUAUCUUUAUCUCACUGAUCUCCAGCCAAAUCACGUCUCCCCUCCAUCCCUCUCUCUCUCUCUCUCUCUCUCCCUGUUCUUCUUCUUCCCGAAACUGCUCUCCUUCAACCACAGAUUCGGUUUCGUCUCCAUCCCUAUAUUCGGUUCCGUCUAGCUGUGCUUCAACCGCUCAGAUUUCUGAGGUUACGAUUUCAGAGGUUGCGAUUUCAUCGCUCAGAUUUUCUGAUUAUCUGAAAAUCACCAAGUCGACCAUUUUUUUUUGUGGGUUUGGUUGUAAAGUUGCAAUUCAUAAAGAUUUGUUUAGCCAACCCAAAUUACACAGGAUACUAUGUUAAAUAGGGUUUUGGACAAAUAACAAGAGAGCUCAUAUAUUUCUUAGUCUGUCUGUUAUUGGUACAAUUGACGUGGUGUGGACCUUGCCCUCUAUUUCUUUCCAUAAUGACAUCUUAUUCUGAAGGUUGAAGAAACCAUCAGCGGUAAAAAUCAGUACAUGUGUGCAUGUAGGUGAGUAUUUUAAUGAAGCAACUAUGCUGUUAAAUAACCAGCAUGACUCUGUGUGCUGCAAUUGCUAAUCAAAGAACAAACAAAUUGUUUUCUCACUUUUGAUAAUGCCUUCCAGCCCUAAAUCUGGAUAUUACAACAUCUCACAGUCAGCUUCCACCAGAAAAUAAAGAAUCCAUAAUUUAAUAAAAUUACAGUCAAUUAAUAUAACAAUAUCUUAUAUAUUGCUGCACCUCAAGUUUUGGCCUGGGUUUGAAAGGAGAAUAUAGCAUGCAUAGCAGUGAGAAAAUGACUGCUUUAGUAUGUGUUACAACUUAAUAAUGGGAGUCAAAUUCAUUGUUCAAAACAAGAAUAAUAGCAUAUUUCA